rnacentral:misc_RNA from 1 species
AAGUCGUAACAAGGUUUCCGUAGGUGAACCUGCGGAAGGAUCAUUAGAAAAUCUAUUAAUGAGCCGCAAGGCUCUAAUAUCUUGUGAAACUGUGGUGUAUCGUUGUUGUUACAAAGCAGGCUGGAGUGAGUAUAGUAAAAAUUUAUCCUAUGUAUUUAUCUUAUGGAUUUAUCUUAUGGAUUUGUUUCGAAAGACUUGCUUUGCUUGCCUCUGUGACAACAGAUAUACGAUAUACAGCUAAUAUAUAUGUUUUUGACGUUGAGGAAGUAUUAUAUCAAUUAUAAUAUAUGUACAACUUUCAACAGUGGAUCUCUCGGCUCUU